UUGUUCGCUUCAACAGCACACUUACUAAAAUUGGAAAACUACAAAGAAAAUUAGCACGGCCCUUUGUCAAAGAUGGCAUGCUAAACCGUGAAGCAUUCCACAUUUUU
ensembl:snRNA U6 U6 spliceosomal RNA